ensembl:snoRNA
ACACUCUGGUUCCCUUUCCUGUUGGAUCUGAAUGUUGGUCUUGGUGGUCUUAAAAAGAGGAAAAGGAGCACUGAAGCUGGCCUCGUGGUACUGAUAGUCUGGUACAUAGCCUGGGUGCUAGUUUCAAACAGGA